UGUGGCAGGGGCAUUCAGUCGGGGUGAUGAGACGAGCGCUGGGAUAUGAAGAAGAAGGUACCCGCGACGGGACCGUCUCGGCGUUCGCUUCGAUUCUCACCGACGCAUUUGCUCCCUGCCCGAUAGGACGCCGCAACCGGUUGGGGGACGGCCUUAUGGGCGAGAAAUGGUAGUUGGCCGGUGGCGUGCCUCGUGCGCGUCGCUGGACUCUGGCCGUCUCGUCGCGCGGCCCGUACCCCGACCGUGGCAAGAAAUAUGCCUAUGACUAGGCUUAGACGUCUCCUCCUUUAUAAGGUGGCGGAUAGAAGCGUGGCAGGGGAUUGAUGGCUUGCGGGCGCACGGACCGACUCCGUGGCCCAGCGUUUCGUCGUCCUCGUUGGCUGCGCAAGGUCCGCACGGAGUGCUGACGGUUGGCGGCGAGUAGAUCGGUCACCCACCCGACCCGUCUUGAAACACGGACCAAGGAGUGC
rnacentral:rRNA from 1 species